rnacentral:snRNA from 10 species
AUACUUACCUGGAAGGGGAGAUAUCAUGAUCAAGCAGGUUGUUUUCCCAUGGUGAGGCUCAUCCCCUGUACUCCACAUCUGCUGAAUUUUUUCUGAACCCUGCAAUUUCCCCAAAUGAAGGAACUUGACUGCAUAAUUUAUGAAUAC